AGCAGCCGCGGUAAUUCCAGCUCCAAUAGCGUAUAUUAAAGUUGUUGCAGUUAAAAAGCUCGUAGUUGAAUUUCGGGGUCAGUAGGUCGGUCGUGCCACUGGUAUGAACUGGUUUUACUGAUUCCUCCCUCUUGAAGAACUGUAAUGCCAUUAAUUUGGUGUUGCAGGGAAUCAGGACUGUUACUUUGAAAAAAUUAGAGUGUUUAAAGCAGGCUUUAGCUUGAAUACAUUAGCAUGGAAUAAUGAAAUAGGACGUUUGAUCCUAUUUUGUUGGUUUCUAGGAUUGACGUAAUGAUUAAUAGGGAUAGUUGGGGGCAUUAGUAUUCAAUUGUCAGAGGUGAAAUUCUUGGAUUUAUUGAAGACUAACUACUGCGAAAGCAUUUGCCAAGGAUGUUUUCAUUAAUCAAGAACGAAAGUUAGGGGAUCGAAGACGAUCAGAUACCGUCGUAGUCUUAACCAUAAACUAUGCCGACUAGGGAUCGGAUGAUGUUAAUUUUUUCAAUGACUCAUUCGGCGCCUU
rnacentral:rRNA from 1 species